rnacentral:rRNA from 1 species
UGGGGAAUUUUGGACAAUGGGCGCAAGCCUGAUCCAGCCAUGCCGCGUGCGGGAAGAAGGCCUUCGGGUUGUAAACCGCUUUUGUCAGGGAAGAAACGCUCUGGGCUAAUACCCUGGGGUAAUGACGGUACCUGAAGAAUAAGCACCGGCUAACUACGUGCCAGCAGCCGCGGUAAUACGUAGGGUGCAAGCGUUAAUCGGAAUUACUGGGCGUAAAGCGUGCGCAGGCGGUUAUGCAAGACAGAUGUGAAAUCCCCGGGCUCAACCUGGGAACUGCAUUUGUGACUGUAUAGCUAGAGUACGGCAGAGGGGGAUGGAAUUCCGCGUGUAGCAGUGAAAUGCGUAGAUAUGCGGAGGAACACCGAUGGCGAAGGCAAUCCCCUGGGCCUGUACUGACGCUCAUGCACGAAAGCGUGGGGAGCAAACAGGAUUAGAUACCCCCGUAGUCCCUGAGCGGGCUGGCAAGGCGCAU